rnacentral:rRNA from 1 species
AGAGUUUGAUCCUGGCUCAGGAUGAACGCUAGCGGCAGGCUUAACACAUGCAAGUCGAGGGGCAUCACGAGUAGCAAUACUUGGUGGCGACCGGCGCAAGGGUGCGUAACGCGUGAGCAACAUGCCCGUAUCAGGGGGAUAAUCCAGGGAAACUUGGUCUAAUACCCCAUAGCAAUUGAAGGAGGCAUCUUCUUUGAUUUAAAGCUUUGGUGGAUACGGAUUGGCUCGCGUGACAUUAGCUAGAUGGUAAGGUAACGGCUUACCAUGGCUACGAUGUCUAGGGGUUCUGAGAGGAAGGUCCCCCACACUGGAACUGAGACACGGUCCAGACUCCUACGGGAGGCAGCAGUGAGGAAUAUUGGACAAUGGAUGGAAAUCUGAUCCAGCCAUGCCGCGUGCAGGAAGACGGCCCUAUGGGUUGUAAACUGCUUUUAUAUGGGAGCAAUAAGACCUACGUGUAGGUCGAUGAGAGUACCAUAUGAAUAAGCACCGGCUAACUCCGUGCCAGCAGCCGCGGUAAUACGGAGGGUGCAAGCGUUAUCCGGAUUUAUUGGGUUUAAAGGGUGCGUAGGCGGUUUGAUAAGUCAGCGGUGAAAUAUUUCAGCUUAACUGGAAGGGUGCCGUUGAUACUGUCGAGCUUGAAUUUAGUUGCUGUGGGUGGAAUGUGUGGUGUAGCGGUGAAAUGCAUAGAUAUCACACAGAAUAUCGAUUGCGAAGGCAGCUCACAAAGCUAAUAUUGACGCUGAUGCACGAAAGUGUGGGGAUCAAACAGGAUUAGAUACCCUGGUAGUCCACACUGUAAACGAUGAUAACUCGCUGUCGGCGAUACACAGUCGGUGGCCAAGCGAAAGCGAUAAGUUAUCCACCUGGGGAGUACGACCGCAAGGUUGAAACUCAAAGGAAUUGACGG